AGCUAUUAAUAGUAUUAUGAUAUACACAUAUAAGUAAAUACUUUUGUUUUGUUUUUUAAAUAAAUUAUAAUUUAUAUUAUGACUUUUUAAUUUGACACAUGAAUUAUAUUUAUGUGUAUGCUGAUUCUUUAAAUUUGAAAAUCCAUAAUAUAAAAUUAUAAUAUUAAUAUAUAUAUUAUAUAUAUAUAUAUAUAAUUUCAUGUAUCAUAAAUAUAUUUUAAUUCUUUACACAGGGAUUGCAUUGUUCAGCCCUAUUUUUUUUUUUUUUUUUUUUUUUUUUUUUUUAACUUUUAAUACUUUUUUUUAGUUUUUUUUUUUUUUUUUUUUUUUUUUUUUUUUUUUUUUUUUUUUUUUUUUUUUUUUUUUUUUUUUUUUUUUUUUUUUUUUUUUUUUUUUUUUUUUU
rnacentral:telomerase_RNA from 1 species